ACUAUUUGGUUUGGAUUAAAAAAAA
rnacentral:sRNA from 1 species